rnacentral:lncRNA from 1 species
UGCAUUUCAAUAUGUAAAAGAUGUCUUAGCUCAAGAUUGUCUAAGCUGAAGAACAAGUGUCAACCAAUUUGUAUCAUUGCAAUGUUAUUUGUUAUUGUUUAUUCAUUUUUGCUUUCUUCCCCUUUUUACAUUUUGAGAAAGUUGAGAAUAUAUGUUACUGCUGCAUUAGUAAAGUCCUCUUAGAUGAAAAGAUAAUGUUAUUAGUUAUCGCAUCGAUGGCUAGAGAAUAGUUAUGUUGCCCACAAGAGUUUUCUGAAUUUUAUGUUGUAAAUUUUCAUUUCUCUAGGCCUUUCAUUCUAACAGCGAUGCCCUAAGAAUAGUUAUGUUGCUCACAAGAAAUGAACCAGACAGCCACGAAUAACUUGUCUCCGGGUAGUUAAUUUUAUGGUGCUUUCCAUUCUGCAUUUGAGGUUCGUUAUGACAUAUAUCCCAGUGAUGAAUUUUUCAGUAAACUGGUCUUUAUGUCCUCAACUAUUAGGCUGAAUAUUUAUUGCAUAUCAAAACUCACAUUUUUAAAAGCACUUCCUGCUUUAUUUAUGUGUUAUCCAUUGUUCUUUAAUCCAUAAGCCCUUGAUCUUAAUAUAUGGUGAUGUAAAAUUUUGCCAAUAGGUUUAGAGACGAGGAUCCAGAGAAAUAUUAUGCUCAGCCAUCCUUCUGUAUCAACUUCUGUAUCAACUGUAACGGUGAGAUCCCACUUGUCAUGGAAGCUUUCUCUUAUCCUUCUAUAGAAACCUAUUCCCUUCUUGCCAAAUCCUUUUUUUAAUUGCAGAUAUUGCAAUUAUUUAUCUUUCCUUGCAAGGAUUACAUGAUCUACACAACAGAGACUUUGAAAUACACAAACAUGAUGAUGAUUAUAAUAGAGGAAGUACAGUGGCAAGCACCAAUCAAUGUGAGGUCAAAACAUAAAGCCGAGAAACAACACCUGCCACAUGGCACUCCCUGUUUCAUGUUGUUUCUUAUGUGAUCAGCAGAUAACAUGCAAUGAAGCAUUCGGUGGAUAAUUUGCUUGCCAUGUUUGCCACUGAAAAUCUUCUUUGUAAUUAUCUUCCAGCUAUAAUUAUGUAUGUUUGGAUGUUGACCUGAAGUUUUUUGGUCAUCAUCAUGGACAUAGUCUCUGUCUCUCUGAACCUAUUAUAUUCUGUAACUUUGGAGAAUAUGCUGGAUGUUCACUAUUGCAUUAGAUUUUAAGCUAAUACUAUUUGAGAUAUAUGGGUCAUUGGAUAAGUAGGAUCCACUAUACCGAAGUAAACAUGUCAGAAGUAUUUAUUACUCCCUCCGUCCCAUAAUGUAGGAUGUUUUUUUGACACUAAUGUAUCUUUCAUCUGCUUUAUUGUGCAGGUGAGACUUUUACAUUAGCUAUGGAAGAAGAGGCCAAAGAUCAAAUACUAUGUCUGCACCAUCAGCAAGACAUUUGCCAAACCAGGGCAAUGCAUGGUAUGUUCAAAAUCAUAGCCUGCUCUUCAUAAAGCUAAUGUUUACUAACUUCAUCAUGUAGCAAGUUAUAUCUCCGUAUUGUAGAGUGUCACUUCUUAUCAUUUUUUCUCAUAAAAAAAUGUUGAUUGAUUGUCACAGAAUAUCUGCACUUUUCACUUUAAUUUUUCAACACCAAUGCUGGUGCUUUACUGCCAUGCCCACUGUCUAUGUGAAAAUGACAAAUUUGGUUUUCUAUGUCUAUCUACAAUGCUGAUUUUCUUUCGCCGUUAUUCUUUCUCACUCUAAUAACUUGUUAUGCUCACUGACAUUCAUCGAACUCUCUUUUGCAUAAUAUUUUGUUACUGCAUAUGUUCUAGCUGAGCAAAUACUACACAAGUUCUAACCUGUAAUGCUUGAGAAGAAGUCUUGCCAUGAACUAACUGUUACUCUUUGUCUUCACAGUACUUUCACAUGGAGUACACUGAGGACAAGCUACAGAAAUACAUCAAGAAGAUGAUGACACAUUGCCACUCAAGCUCGGAGACGGAACCGUGAGCUGCGAUGGUCGCUACAUGCUUGGAACCGACAAGAGGGCCACCACAUCAUGACGAACUGUCAUAUGGUUUCGCCAUCACGCCAACAUCAAAAGAGGGCGACAUGUGC